CCUUCCUCCCCCUCCCAUCCAUCCCCGCGCCCAACUGCCAACUGCUCAUCUCGUCUCGUCUCUCUCUCCCCCCAAUCCGGCGACCCCAAUUCCCCAAAAUCCAUCUCGAAUCCCUAGCUCGCGGGCGGCCAGUGCGAUGGCCGCCGCCGCCGCCGCCGCCGUCCCGUGCGUACCAUUCCUGUGCCCGCCUCCUCCGCCAUUGGUCUCGCCGCGUCUCCGCCGUGGCCACGUCCGCCUCCGCCUGCGGCCGCCAAGGAGCAGCGGCGGUGGAGGCGGAGGCGGAGCGGGGGGAGACGAGCCGCCCAUCACCACCUCGUGGGUGAGCCCCGACUGGCUCACGGCGCUCUCCCGCUCGGUGGCAACCCGCCUCGGCGGGGGCGACGACUCGGGGAUCCCCGUCGCCUCCGCCAAGCUCGACGACGUGCGGGACCUCCUCGGCGGCGCGCUCUUCCUCCCUCUCUUCAAGUGGUUCCGCGAGGAAGGCCCCGUCUACCGCCUCGCGGCGGGGCCGCGGGAUCUCGUCGUCGUCAGCGAUCCCGCCGUUGCCAGGCACGUGCUGCGUGGGUACGGUUCGAGGUACGAGAAGGGGCUCGUCGCCGAGGUUUCCGAGUUCCUCUUCGGCUCCGGGUUCGCCAUCGCCGAGGGCGCUCUCUGGACGGUGAGACGUCGAUCAGUUGUACCAUCUCUACACAAACGAUUUCUCUCGGUGAUGGUUGACAGAGUUUUUUGUAAAUGUGCUGAGAGAUUAGUGGAGAAGCUUGAGACAUCUGCUUUAAGUGGCAAACCUGUAAAUAUGGAAGCAAGGUUCUCUCAAAUGACUUUAGAUGUGAUUGGUUUGUCCUUGUUCAAUUACAAUUUUGAUUCCCUCACAUCAGAUAGCCCUGUUAUUGAUGCUGUUUACACUGCACUCAAGGAAGCAGAACUUCGUUCUACAGAUCUUUUACCAUACUGGAAGAUUGAUUUGCUGUGCAAGAUUGUUCCUAGACAAAUAAAAGCAGAAAAGGCAGUUAACAUCAUCAGGAAUACCGUUGAGGACCUAAUUACCAAAUGCAAGAAGAUUGUAGAUGCUGAGAAUGAACAAAUUGAGGGUGAGGAAUAUGUAAAUGAGGCAGACCCUAGCAUCCUGCGAUUCCUACUUGCUAGCCGUGAAGAGGUAACCAGUGUGCAGUUACGUGAUGAUCUAUUGUCAAUGUUAGUUGCUGGUCAUGAAACAACAGGCUCUGUACUGACGUGGACUAUUUAUCUUCUCAGUAAGGAUCCAGCAGCGCUGAGGAGAGCUCAAGCAGAGGUUGACCGUGUUCUACAAGGUAGACUCCCCAGAUAUGAAGAUCUAAAAGAGCUGAAGUACUUGAUGCGCUGUAUAAAUGAGUCUAUGCGGCUUUAUCCACACCCACCUGUGUUGAUACGGCGAGCCAUAGUUGAUGAUGUGCUUCCCGGAAACUAUAAGAUCAAAGCUGGUCAAGAUAUUAUGAUUUCAGUGUACAAUAUACACAGGUCACCUGAGGUUUGGGACAGAGCUGAUGAUUUUAUUCCUGAGAGAUUUGAUUUAGAGGGACCUGUUCCAAAUGAGACAAACACUGAAUACAGAUUUAUCCCAUUCAGUGGAGGUCCUCGGAAAUGUGUUGGAGAUCAGUUUGCUCUCUUGGAAGCAAUUGUGGCACUUGCUGUUGUGUUGCAGAAGAUGGACAUUGAGCUUGUGCCAGAUCAAAAAAUUAACAUGACUACUGGGGCCACAAUUCAUACAACCAAUGGCCUGUAUAUGAAUGUAAGUCUGCGUAAAGUUGACAGGGAACCUGAUUUUGCACUCAGUGGGUCCAGAUGAACGGAAGGAAACAGCUUCAAAGCAGAAAAGCAAAAGAUGUACAUCGACACACAUGAGAUGUGGUAAAUAUCGGCGUACAGGUUGACGAAGCUCGAAAGCAUGGAUAUAAUUCGUUUAUUGUUUAUGGAUAUACGUUGUAUGCUUAUAUAUCCCCGAGAAUCUGGUCCGCAAUGCCCGUUCUAUAGCGUAGAAAGCCGAUAUUUAAGAGGCCCAAUUGCGUGAACAAUUUCAUCAAGAGAAAGUUAGGCGCAUAGAACUUUCGGCCACAAAAGGCCUAUAUAUAUAUGUGAGUAAUAUCAUUUCGGUUACUUUA